UCCAGAAGAUUUCUGGGGAUUUGUGUUCCAGUCCAUCCCAAAAGGUGUUUAGUGGGGUUGAGCUCACUUCACAGGGGCAUUGUGAUGCUGGAACAGGUUUGGACCUCUUAGUUCCAGUGGUCCAGCUGUUUGUGUGAGAAUAGGAUUACAGAGCAGUAUUGGAGUCUACAAGCAUGCAGCACGUUAUUGUAGAUUUUCUUCAUGCUACUCGGUGGGACGUGUUUUUAGAAAAAUGCUUGGCGCCCCAUUAGAGACAAAAAGCUUUGCUCCACAUUCCCGUCGGUGAUGUUUACACAGCGAUUUCGCCCCGCCUCGUGACGUUUAGAGGAGGUCGCCCCGCCUCAUGACGUUUAGAGGGGUCCUGAAGAAAUCAUAGGUGUCCUGAGAGAUUGCCUGUUACGUCGGAUCCUUAAAAACAAUAUAUAUUUUUGGCGAUCUUAAGAGUGGACAGUCUAAAUCUUAUUCUGGUAAAUGAGCUGGAAGGAUUCCCCUCUAAUUCAGGUUACUACGUAAAAAUUGCAGUUGUUUAUAUGCAACAUUAGAUAGCAUUGGGAUAGCAAUGGGACAUGCGGACGGGGUAGCAUUGGGAGACGCGGAAGGGGUAGCAUUGGGAUAGCAUUGGGAUAGCAUUGGGAUAGCAUUGGGAUAGCAUUGGGAGACGCGGAAGGGGUAUCAUUGGGAUAGCAUUGGGAGACGCGGAAGGGGUAGCACGGGGAUAGCAUUGGGAUAGCAUUGGGAUAGUAUUGGGACAGUAUUGGGAUAGCAAUGGGACAUGCGGAUGGGGUAGCAUUGGGACAACACUGGGAUAGCACUGGGGCAUGCUCCUGUUAAAUAGCACCUAGUCAAAGCGGGUUUUAAAACGUAUCAUCAACUGAAAUUCACGAUCAGACUGAAAUAUAAACUAAAAUGCUAGUUUAAAGUAACGCACGUCGCUUUAAUGUAGUUGGCGUGCCUUCUUUGCGGGUUUAGACGUAGCAGCAGAGUAGGAAUCACGGUUAUAUAGAGGUAUGAACGUGAUCUCAUAAAGACACAACUCUGCUUAUUCAAAAUUAUUACUGACAGAAAUAACAAGAUCAUGUAAUUAUGUACAAUAUUACAGUCAUUUACUAUACCGCGUGAAGCAACGCUCAUGAAGUACAUACAUACAUACAUACAUACAUACUCGACCUUACCUGCAGAUACGUAAAAAAAGCAACCCAAUAAUAAGAAUAAAAACAGAAUCAUCAGGCCGGUCCAGUUUAACACCGCGCUUAAGAACAGUGUAGAGUUCCAGCAAAGAGAAAACUAGCGGUGUACAGAAACUUUCACUGAGGAAAAAACUUUUCGUUCAAACUGAAUAGGAAUACUGAAGGGGGAGUGGUGUUGGGUUGUUUAGUCAGCAGCCAAUUAGAAUUCACUAUUCAGAAACGUCACCAGUUCCUAAGCUGAAUUGAAUCUUCGCGGUUCCACUGCGAGCACGGAAGCGAUGUGUUGUAAUAUGAAUGCCGUAUAUUUGAAGUGUAUAAACGUCACAUUGUUACGGGGUAAAAGUGAGUCACCCUGGAUUCCUAUGGAAAAGCAGAUGCUUUCAGACGAGUAAAACUCGGCAUUUAUCUCAUCACAAGCACAAUCAUUUUCAGACUCGGACCAUGAGGGAGAAGAGCUCUUCUUAUUUAAGGGGCGAGCAUUUCAGAGGACUGUGACUGACUGUAUUAGGAGUUUGACCACUCUGAAAGCAUCCAGGACCUUUGACCUUAAUUUACAUCAACACUUUAUAUUGUAUCCCGUCAUUGACUACAAAGGAUUUGCAUCAAAGUAUUAAAAAUAAUACUCAUAAUUGUCAACUUAUGCAAUAACAUUUGAGCCUGUGAAAAUAGAGGAACUGUCUAUAAAAUGUCUGUAAUUCCUAAACUGUUAAUGCAAUAUUUUAAAUGAAAUUUUCACUCAAAUCUUGAUUGCUUCCUUUCAAAUACAUUAUGUUGGUGUACAGAGGUAAAAUUAUGAAAAUUGUCACUGUCCAAAUACUUAUGGACCCGACGGUCUCAUCUGUGCUUCCCAUUUAAAAACCACCAGCUGGUUCCACAUGUUACUUCCCAGUUCCAUACUUACAUGUAAUGUCAUUUCUGAGCAUAAUUUCUCUCCACACACACACUGCAUCUGGUACAACAGGAAUACUCUAUGCAAAAAUUAAUCUUUAUACUUUAAAACUUGGUGUAAAUAUUUUGCUGGACAAUUAGUUAUUUAACAAAUAAGUAAUACUCUGAUGACUAAUCAUCUCAUUGUCCACCAUCAAAAAUGUAAGAUGCCUUGUUAAAAUAAAGAGUUGUUUUGUUAUGUGUGACAGUUUGGAUCCAUUAAGAGAGUAUAUUUUUAGCUAAGAAAACCUACAUGAUUAAGUUUUAGAUUUGAAUGUUAGAGCUAAUGCUAAUCCUCAUUUAGUAGCUAGCUAACGUUAACCAACACGUUUUAGAAUAAUAUUUAAAUUCUAUUUGAUCGAUCACUGCACGACGGUCAUUGAAAGCUAAAAAAAGUACCAUUUUAAAAUAUCAGUUUGAUAGUGUAAAUGACUGGCUAGCUGACUAGUUUGCAAGCUAAUGCUAAUCCUCAUUUUGUAACAUGGUCGAUCGGAGUUGUCAGGAUUUAACACUACGCUAUAAUACAGUAUUUUCUCGAGGCGAUUUUCAGGGCUGCAUUAGCAUGCCUCACUACACUGAAAGCCCCUGGUCACCGUUUAUUUUGUUGUCGAAAGGUAGCUUGCUGUGACAAUCUUUUGUUUUGCCUUGUGUGGGAGUCAUUAAUCACUGAUGCAUCAUAUCUAGCUAGAGCAAUCUUUUAGAGAUUUUAGCUAGGUAGUUUUCAUCUGUUAUUGCUAACACACAGUUUAUUGCUGCUAAUAGUGUGAAACUUGCUUCUGUUCUGUUUAUAAAGUAUCCUCGGUUAUUUAGGUUGGAUACGUGACGGGUCCUAAUUUUAAAAUGAUCUGUGGAGUUUGUGGACAUGAGCUAGUAGGAUCGAGGCACAUGUCCUUUCUAAACCUGAAGAUGCAGAGGAAGCAUUCCAAGAGAAUACCAGUGGACUCAUGUUUCGGAUCUGGUCAUUCGAGGGACAUGUCAUUUGUGAGUGACUCCUAUCUACAUUCCUGACUGGGCUUGCAACCUUGUUCUCAAUGUAUUAUGUGUUCAACUUACAGAACCAGGAGAAGGCCUCUUGUACUUUGGAGUUGCUGGCUCAAAUUUUGCCUAUUACCUGAAGACACUUAACAUAGAAACAGAUACUCACAUAUUCAAUUGGAGAAAGAAAAAUAAGACACCAGCUGUGAGUGAGAAGAAGCAAGGGUCCAGGUUUAUUCGUUCCAUUACACCACACGAGAUCCACACAGUUUGAGACGUCCCAAAAAAAAAAACAGAGCUGAAGCUCUUCCAUUUAUACAGUUUUCUUAGGGUCAGGAUGACCCAGACACCAAUGUGCCCUCCCACAAUACCAUUAUGUUUUAGAAAGAGCCCUUCCUGAACACCAUUAGGUUUUCGAAAGAGCCUUCCCAUAAUACCAAUAGGGUUAAAAAAAAAAAAAAAAGCUCAUCUACAUUACCAUGAUGUUUAAAAAAAGGCUAUCAAAUUUACCAUGGUGUUUUGAAAGAGGCUUAUCAAAUUUACCAGUAGGAUUGAAAGUGGGAGAAAGAGGAAACAAUUUUGAGAGACCUUGGUCUCAUGGGGGGGCUUGACUCAGCUACCCUUAUACAUGGCUUCUCAUGGUUAUUAAGGUUAUUAAAAUUAAGGCCCUCGGCUACACCAUGCUCGACCCUUCCCCGUGAGACAAGAAUCCUCACCAUCCGAAUUAUGAGUUAGCUAUGUGUGUGCGUUUCCUUAACUCUCUUUCUCUGUGACUAAUAAACCAUAAUGUUUUAAUCUUAAAAUGUGAAUCCAAUUCAAUAAAAUUACGUAUUACUCAUACUAGGUCUCCCUCGUGUUUAUUUCAUGUCAUUUUUAUCCACAACACCUUGUUCGUUAAAUCUAACUUUCUUUUUGCUCUUUGAAUGCCUUAUAUCCCUACCCUAAAAGUCACCAACUACUUGCUGUUGUGUACUUGCUGUGUUUCUAGGCGUGUCAAUGGGAUGAACCCAGAGCAGCGUUAAAUUUUAGCCGCGGCAAUGUGGUCUCAAAGAAGACAGGUAAAAUCAUCAACAAGAAAUCUUACAGUUAACCCUCGUGUCUCUACCUGAAGAAUCUCAUGGACUUUCAGUGGGACUUCAUUUAGGAAAGCACAUUUUCACAUGCUCUCACUAAUGCACUCACUGGUAGGGUGUGAUAUCAUAUGCUCUGCUUAUGUUUUAAAGUCAAUUGCCAAAGGCCAUCUUUGAGAUUGAGUCAAGUCUGUCUCCAGCCUAACCAGACAUUUAGUCCAGCAGAAAAAUUUGAAGUAUGUACAAUCCCCUCUGAAAGUAUUACAACAGCAGGGCCAAGCCUAUUGUUUUUUGCUAUAUACUGAAGACGUUUGGGUUUGAGAUCCAAAGAUGAAUGAGACAACGCAUCAGCAUUUCAGCUUUUAUUUUCUCAUAUUUACAUCUAGAUGCGUUCAACAAUUUAGAACAUUGCACCUUUUGUUUUUACCCACCCAUUUUUUUCCAAGUGAGUACCUGCCCAGGUGUGCCCUGUUAGAUUGACUGUUUAAAGAAGUAAUAGCUCUGAAUGUCUGUCGGUUUGAGCUCAAGGUUUCACCUGUGAAGACUGCAUUUGUUGUUAAAAUCCAUGAAGAUCAGAGAGCUGUCUAUGGGAGAAAAGCAAGUGAUUUUGAAGCUGACAAAAGAUGGAGAAUCAAUCAGCGGCAUUGCACAAGCAGUGGGCAUAGCCAAUACAACCAUUUAGAAUGUCCUGAAAAUGGAAAAGAAAAAAAAAAAAACCCAGGGUUGUACUAACACGAUAAAACCCCUAGUGUUGAAUUAACACCCAGAGUGUUCAUUUGUGUCCUGUGGAAUUUUGGGAUUUUGAUGUGAACCAUACAUCGAACGAGUCGGCCAAGGAAAACAACAACAGCUGAUGACAGAAACAUUGUGAGAGCUGUGAAGAAAAACCCAAAAACAGCAGUCAGUGACAUUACCAACAACCUCCACGUGGCAGGGGUUAAGGUAUCACAAUUCACCUUUCAAUGAUGACUUCAAGUACAGCAAUAUAGAGGCCACACCACAAGAUGCAGUCACUCAUCAGCAGUAAGAACCAGAAAGCCAGAUUGGAAUUCACAAAGAAAUACAGAGAUGAGCCACAAAAGUUCUGGAACCAACAUAAAAAGUAAUAGAAAGGCAAAAGUGUGGAGAAAAAAAUGCUCAAAAAGAAGGGCUCAUGAUCCAAAACAUAGAAGCUCAUCAGUCCAGCAUGGUGGAGGUAGUGUCAUGGCUUGGUCUUGCAUGGCUGCUUCUGGAACAUUCUCACUAAUGUUUAUUGACGAUGGAACUCAUGAUGGUAGCAGCAGAAUCAAUUCAUAAGUCUGUCUUCCAAUUUACAGACAAAUUCAUCAAAUCUAAUUGGAAGGAACUUCAUCAUGCAGUAGGACAAUGUCUCAAGACACACUACCAAAUCAACAACGGACUUCAUCAGAGGUGAAAACGUGAAGGUUUUAGACUGACCAAGUCAAUCACCAGACCUUAACCCAAUUGAACAGCAUUUCACAUCUUGAAGAAGGAGACUGAAGGAAGAAACCUCCCUGAAACAAACAAUAACUGAAAAAGGUUGCAGUUUAAGCAACACAACAAGCUGGAAAAGCAAGACAAAAGAAAAAUGCAACAGUUUGGUGAUGUCAGUGAGUCGCAGGCUUGGUGCAGUUAUUGCAAGCAAGAGAUAUGCAACCAAAUAUUAAGUGUGUUUAUUUUAAGACUCUGUUCCUAAACUUUUGCUCACCCAAAA
ensembl:lncRNA